rnacentral:lncRNA from 1 species
UAGAAUGAAAAUGAUUUCCAUGUUUGUCAGCAACAUAGUUAUUUACAAAUAACCCAUAUGAAAAUGUAAAAAAGCAUAUUACAUCUUCACAUGCCAUCUGUAUUAACUGAAUAAAGCUUAGUGACAUUAUUUUCAAAUCUGUAGUUAAUUGUACAUAGACAUUUUGUGCGUUAAAAAAGAAAUGUACAUAAUUUAAAAUAAAUUACAUUACACAAUUUACAAAGUAAUAACAAAAACUUCUUAGACAAAUGCCUCCUUAAACAAAAUAAAUAUUCAGGUAAUUAAAUUAACAAAAAAACAUUUAGGGGAUUAUAAUUUAUAUAAAGACAUAUUGCAAAUUUAAUAAAGUUCUAUUUUACAAUGACCGAUACUGAUCUCUUCAAAUCUCUGUGCUACAAAGAGGCAGGAAAAAGUACCAGAAAGGGGAUCUUAAUGUUUACUUUUUAAAAAUAAACACAAAUAGAUUGCUGAAAAAUAGUUGUGAAAACUCCGUUGAAGGGUUCAAAGUAGAUGAUCUAGAAGAUCUAGAAACUACUGCUUAAAAAAACAAAAAAAGCAUCUACAAAACAACAAGAUAGUUAUAAUCUAAAUAGACUAGAGAUUUUGAUCGCUGAAAACAGGACUGCCACAAACUAAAAGUCUUCAUAUACUGCCCAUUUUUAAGAUCUGGCUUGGUAGAAGCAUGAAAACCUAAAACUACAAAGUUAACUCUAUCCACUCAGUAUUUGUUUUACUCACUUAAUAACACAGACAUAACCAUUUUCAGCGUUCCUGCUAGAUAUAGAAUUACUGUAAUCACCCUGCAAUACAAUCCUCUUUAUAAAGAGUCAUGUUUGCUGGGCCCGCACUCCACUUUCAGACCCCCAAAUCCUCUUCUGCUGUCACAGCCACCUGAGGAUAGGACCAGAUGGGACAGGCAGGUGUUUUGUUCUCAUAUCUAAACUAGACCCAGGAAAACUCAUUUUUUGACAAGGCUCUUCACAGAUUUGUUCUGAUAGUGCUUCUUUCAAACACCUUCAGUCUUAGUGGGAAAAUAGAACAUGAAACACAUUUGAAUUUGGUAAUAAUUUUACAAACAGAUCUCUGAUCAUUUGGAGACACAAUUCUUGUGAAUCUAUUCAAACUCUAAGCCCAGGAAUGGGCUCUCCUUUCUCUAAGGUACUGGAGUGCCUUACUGUCUUGCAGGUUGGGUCAUAGACACGGAGGCGAGGUAGAGGUAGGAGAGUACUGGGUCAUACUAAAUGAGUACAAAAACUGACAUAUUUACAGAAAAAAAGUCUUUUUUUUUGAGGGGGGGCAAGUCUUCUACAUCUUUUCUUACCUUUUUACUCAUGUCUUUGACCAGUACAUUUUGUUUAAAUCAAGAUGUUCAUACUCUUAGUGACACUUUGACUCUAUUAGGUAGGGAAUAUAGACCUUCACCACCUUCUUUUUUUUUUUUCCUCCUUACUUAAAAAUUGUGAGUAUGUUUAGUAGAAGGUAGUUCUGAGAAAAGUAGACAAGAUUAGUUAAGCAGAGUAGAGAGAGACCAGAGAUAAUCAUCAUAAAGGAACAUAUGUAUAGGGAUUUGGAGGAGAUAAACAAAUUAAACAAAACAAAACAAAACUGAGAGGUGUUAAUUCCUGUAAGAAGUUCUGCAUAAGUGACUUUAUCUUGAAGUGUCCAGGAAUGUAACAGGGUUCUGGUUCAGCCACAUGAACAUUGCCACCUCCCUGAGGGUGGAGGAGAAUUACAGCAAAAGCGUAAAGCAUGGCCUGAGACAUGGACAUUACGUAAGGAAAAAUGCUGCACUGGAAACAAAUCCAGAGUCAAGGGUGAUGUAAGUGCUGUCCUCAUUCAUGAAAUAUUUUUCCUUCUUUUGAGUGUCUAAGAUACAUAGGUAUACAAAAGCCAUGACUCAUUGUUUUACGGUGCCUAGCAGAGUGUCUUACAUGUGAUAAUGCAAGAAAUAUUUGUCUUGUUUUGAGUAAUUUGUGCUUUGUUAUAAGUAAUUAAGAACAUGCUUUUAUGUACUCCUUUUCAAAUUAACUUUAAGCUACACUGUAGUGUCCUCAAAAAGUCUUUCAAAUAAGAAUUAUGGUCCAUAUUUUAGAUUAGGUACUGAUAAAUAAGCAAAUCAACCCCUUUCAAGAGAGAUCAGUUGUGCCAAUUCUAUGUAGUUUAUAUUGAAACAGUCCAACAAAAUAGUAUAUAACGUCAUUUUUCUUUUCUUUUUUUCCUCAAAACCAAGCAGACCUUUGUAUUUAUAGAGCAGUAGUUCUAGAUCUUUUGGGGCUCACAGGCCAUUUUGAUAAGGCAAAAGUGUUAACAGACCAGUUACUACUCUAUUCCCCUCCUGAAUUGUCAGAAUGAACAGGAGGAAUAAGGUUUUGAUGAAAUUCCAGUAACAUACUAAACUAAUUAUUGACUCAUGCCAGGAACAAAAAUAAGGCCAUUUUCAUGUUCUAAACAUGAAUACAGUAACCUUCAUUUGUCCAAAAUAGGCAGCUGGCUAUCUGUCCUUCCUUCCAUCUUUUUAAUAAGAGGCCACCCAGUAUCUAUCCUAACAGUGAAUUUCCAAUAUGUUUUCUAGUUUUAGGUCACCUUGAACCUAGUUUCCUUUCAUAUAUGCAGUGUUGUAAAAUGUGAUUAAUUUAUGAAUAAAAUAAUAUAUUUUCAUAAAAUUUUGAUCAAUUCAUUAAUUCUUACAGUAUGGGCUGCGUGAUACUGAUCUGCUUUCUGAAUUAAUGACAUUUUACAGUAUCAUACGUAUAGCUUUUGUAGUGACAAUAACAAUAUUUUAUUCAGUAAUUUCAAGUUAUUAGAUGUUGCAUGCAUGCAAGGCUGUUAGCUAAAUUCUUCAAGUAACCGCAGUAGAUUCUUUCUCAGCCAUUUUGGACAAAUGGAGUUCAUUUUAUUCAAAGAGAUCAACUUGAGGAUUAUAUGGAAGACCCCUGAGUGCAUACACUGGCAAUCACAGUUUUAGAGCAACGGUAUUAUUUUUGUCUUCCUCUUCAAUAAGACCGAUGCAAUGGAAUUUGUUUUUAUGCUUUGUUUUGUUUAAAUCCUUGGUUUAAAGUAAAAUUCUCAUGUCUGUAAACAUCUGUUUGCUUUGAAAUGAUUGCUUUGCCUAAUACAGUGAGUGUUAAGGAAUUAGUGAUUUCCACAUUUAAUUCUUAUUAAAAUAGUUAAAAAUCUGUUCAUUUUAGGGGCGACAUCCUAAUCUGAGGUCUUUUGUAAUCUUUGCAUGUACUCUAGUGGACAGCAGGGGGAGUUCAAACUCUACUUGAAGGUAAAACACCUGCUAGUCUAAACCACUUUUAUAGUAACACAGCUAUGUUUAAGAUAAAAUAGCUUAUUACAUUAUUUUUAAUAGACCUGAAAACCUAAUGUCCUCCCCUCUACCAAAGGUUGUUGCAAUAAAUGUUGCCUGAAAAAUGGAGUUGCUUUGCAAUGGCACCUUUUGCAUUUUCUUUUCAUACAAAAAAGUCUGCCAAAUGAAAUAGCAUUUCACUGUGCCAUUCCCAGGGUUACAUGUGUGAAAAAUGCAGUUACUUUGAAAACAGUGAUAAAGUUUAAUGACUUUUUUUCACCUUUGAAAUUAAACACUGAUGGCAUUCUAAGGGUAAAUGAGUGAAAACAAAAGGUGACACAAUAUAGAGAGGUAAGCACUGAAAAAACUUCUAAACCAGUGGUUCACAAACCACAACAUGUCACAAAGAAAGGCUUAUUGGAAAACAGCCACGCUCAUUCUCUUAUGCACUGUGUAUCGUCUACACCUGCAUCCUCAUGAUGACAGAGUUGAGAAGGUGCAACAUAGACCUGGCUGAAAAUAUCUACUAUCUGGUCCUUCACAGAAAAAGUUUGCCACCUUUGGUCUAGAUAUUUAAUGAAGCCCUGGGCAAACUAUUCUUUUCUGAAAAUUUUAGUUUUUGAAAUACUACAAAGACUGCUUCAAAUUUUACUAGUGAGAAAGACAAAACUAUGGAUACAUUUGAUGCGAACCUGGAAAACAAAUCAGGGAAAAAGAGAAAUCACACAAUUUUGAGUUCUAGUUACAAACAUUAUCAAGACAUUAUUUUUUCCAUCUGCUCAAAAUUAAAAAGACAACCGGCUCCUUUUUUUCUUUUCUUUUCUUUUUUUAACAAAGAUAACAAAUAUAAAAAUCUAGUCAUAAACUGCCUUCAAAGUACAUUAAAAACCAACUAGAGGGAUUCAUCUUUUGCAGGGUCAAUGAGUUCGGGAUUUGAACAUUUAAAUCACUGUCAUGCCGAUUUCACAAUGGCUGCAGCAAUGAGGAAGAGUGUAUUCAGCAGAUGCAAUAGCUAAUUCCAUCCUGUCCUCAUCCAAACUGAACUUUAUUCUCUUCUGGAUACAAGAACUUGCAAAUGU